CAAAGGUAAACUAAAAACUUAAUAGUGUUUGAAUCAACUGAGAACCUUCUUUUGUCUCUCGGUGUUAAGAUAUUCCUGUGAUUUAUCUUUUAUGAUUAAAGGUGCUUUUAGAUUGCUCUCUCAAGGAAGGCAAAAACAGCACCAACAAAGAGAGCCCAGCUAAUGCAUGCAUAUAGAUUCCAUUUAUCAGUAUAACAUUCAUUAGUAUAAGUAGGGCUUAUUCACCCCCACAUCCCCCAACUAGGUAUCAACUUCACCUGCUGCUAAUGAUAAAGGUCUUUUGCUGUUUUGCAUCAAGCUCCAAUCCUGAAUACACUUACUGGAGACUGAGACCUAGUGAAGAUGUUGGGACUUCUGAGAAAGCAUGUGCAGAAUUGUAGUGUCUGUCUCUACAUCACAGAAUAAAGUAAAAUAAAUUAGAGAUUUUAUAUGUGUGUGUGUGUGUGUGUUAUGAAAUAUUUUCCUCAUUUACAAAAGCACAUGUGUUGUCUCUUUCUUCAGGUUGUGUUUUCUACAGAUCAGUUACAUUUGUUGUGAGACAUUGGUGUUACAGAGGGUUGGAAAGAAAAGAGGUGGAGACAGGAGAGAGAGGGCUGGUGGGCUGGUGAAGCUUAUGUUCUUUUACUUAGUGCAUAAAUGUGGUUUUUGUGCCAGCGUUACUUGGGUAGCUUCUCUUUCUAUUCACUUGUUAUGUUUCCUCGGUGGUGAGAGAGGUUGGGGUGGCCUAGGGUGUGGUAGAUUGUCUUUGGUUGGCUGCAGUGGGAUUUGUUUGUGCAUGGGGUGGGGGGAGUUGUUGGGUUAAGUUAGCCAUACUGAAUCAUAUGCUGUUGGUGGGUUUGUGUUGUUGUUUUGUUGGGCUGUGUAUGUGAUAAAGGGGAGCCAUACCAGAGUGAAGGCAUCUUCUUCUAUUUGCCCCCGUGUCCGUUUCGGUCUUUUGGUUAGCUUUUCUACUAAGGCUCUUUCCCAUACUUCUUGAUACCAGUGUUCCAUGUUUAUUCCUGACAGGUCUCUCCAGUGUCUGGCUAUGAUGUUUCUGGCUGCUGAGAGUUGGUGGGUUAUGAGCUCUUGAUAGUGUGAGUGGGCACUUAUCUUGGAAGAUGUUCAGAAGAAAUUGGAAAUUUAAAAUGGCAACAUAGCAGGGAGACACGUAAAUCAUCCAGAAUAUUAUCUCUGAUUGCGCAGUCUCCUAAGUGUCUGUUCGGGACACGAGUAGAGCAUGGAGUUGCUGAGAGUGCAAUCAUGUGGAGCUGACCGAAUACAAUGUCAUGUGACUCACACAGACGAUCGGCUGAGUAGCAAUAACCCAAGGUGAUGCAGUCAUCUGAUGUACAGAAGCACCAUGUGGGGUAGUUUGGGACAGGGCUGGAUAAAAGAGGAAAGAGUGUAAAAAAAGUUUUAUUGGGCCUGAGAAAAAUUUCGUGUAUCAGCUCUGGGUGAUGCCAGCAAAGUGUCUUGGAAUGGAAAGUCUUAAACGACGAAGCAGCUGAAUUAAGCCCUUCAUGUCACCUGAUCCCAUUGGACUGUAGUUGCCAUGUUGGUCAUCAGACAAGUGGUGCUAGCAGCCCUCUUUGCCUAUCACCCAGCCUGCCGGCACCCCCGCCUGCCUGCCCUAGGGGGUCAGAGGUCACUCUCCCAUUAGGUGCAGUGAGGCAGGUGGGGGGUGGAGAGGGCUGCAAUUGCCAGGUGGCUUGAUCUGUGUCCCCUAAGUCAGCCUGCUGCUCUCUGGUGCAGCAGCACAGACCUGUUGCCAGUAUGAACGACUCAUCUGACAGUCCAGUUAGGAUUCUGUCUGAAGCAUGGAGGCAGCACCACCUUGUUCUUCUACUCAAGCAGAGCUGCCCCUGCUGAUAAGUCCCCGUGUGGUCUGAAGUCCUUUGAGCCUUACAGUAAACGGCAAAUUGCUGUUGUCACUUGCUUUGAAUGUCUACAAGCUGCUUCACACAUACAUACACUUCAUUUGGCUCCCAUCACUUCAAUUACUCAGUGUGUGAACUAACUCCCUUUAAAACCAGCAUGCACAUUAUGGUAUGAAACCCUCUCGCCUUUUUUUGGGGGGGGUGAUGUUCUCACAUGCAAGCCACUACCUGAUGCUGCAGCAAGUAGCAUUCAUGCAUCAAGGAGGCUUGGAAAGUUGCAACGGUGCUGCAAUGCCGUUAGCCUCUAACUAUUAAGACCUGCCUCUGCCUCUGUGGCAUCUCUAGGACUGCAAUUCUCUUUCUGUUGAUUGUUCAGCUGAAUUAUGUCUUUAAAAGAGAUUGUUUCAUAUGCUAGAAAUUUCAAAGGAAGUAAAUCUAUAGCUGCCUCUUAAAGUGGGAUGUGGAUAUAUAAACAAGAUUCUGGUUCGUUUUACACCCUUAGGAUAUGUUGCUUAAAAUUCAGCUCAUCAGCCAGUGAACCACAUUGCUAGAGCUUUGUUGUUACAAGCACACUCCCAAGCUUUAUACAUGAAUAAAGUCAAAAUACAGGGUAUCCAAAAUAAACUAGCUAGAUACGGAAAAAUAAGGAUUGUAUGUUAAUUUGCUCGCAACUAUUUCUUUCCUCCCUCUGCAUAGAAAACUAAUAGUUGAAUAGUGGUCAUCCCAGUUAUCUCUACAGUACUUGCAAAGAGAAGUUGAUAGUAAUUUCUUAACCUUUGUUGAAUGUGAGUAAACUAAAUCAAACACUUUGUCAUGGACUUUCCCGUGAUGCAGGAGUAUUGUGUUUAAAGUUUCUUGAGGGUGAGUAUUAAGGCUGGAAACCUAAGGGAGGCUGAGUUGUAAGCAAGCUCAUUAUAUUAGGCCGACUUUCUUUACCCUGGUAAAAGUAUAAAAAUAUAAAUAAAUGCACUGUCUUUCUUUACUCUUUACAUUGUUUGCAAUAGUUACAGCAGUGAGGUGCUGCAAAGGUAAAUGUUGAAGGUCAAGAGCACAUCAUGACAGCUGCCACAGCCAUGCCCCCAAAGAGAGUGCAAAAAUGCAAAGUACUGUACAGAUCUAUCUGUGUGCAUGCGAGCACACCCAUAGCAACAGUAUGCAGCAAAAUGCCCAAUUUAUUUGGAUCAGCAAGACUGCAAUUCUAUGCAUACUUACUUGGGAGCAAGCUAUAAUGAACUUGCUGGUGCUUGCUUCUGACUACAUAGGUUCAACUUGUAAAAACAUUGACCUUUAAUGACAGAUCAUCAGCCAGCUGAAAUGCAACCUAUAACUUUUAAUCAGAAAUACAAGAAAGAAUGCAGGGAAUUGUUAACAUUUCAACUGCCAGCAUGAAAUACGAACCCCAUCAAAGAAGAGAAAGACGUGCACAGUCUUUGCUUAAUCAUUUCCCUCAUUCUCUGACUUCUGUGCUCACCUUUCAGAACCAAACUUGAAAUCCUCAUUGCUUCUUCAUUCACUUUCUAGAGGGUCCAUCAAUUACUGUCAUUGCGUCAUCUACUCCAGCAGAUGACAUAACCGCUUCCUCUGUUUAAAAGACAAUUAAACAGCGCUUCUCUGUGUGCUCCACCUGAGGGAGGUGUGGAGGGUGGCAGCACAAGAACAGGUCAUUUCAGGAGGUGACAGCCUGGCCCCUCCCCAAUCGGUGGAAAGUUCUCCCUAGGAAAAUGUGCCUGGUAUCAUCCUUGUCAGUCUUUAUAGACACCAGGCUAAGACCUUUUACUUAUUCCUUAAGGUAAUUAAGUUGUUUCCUGUGGUGUUCCUCUCUUAGUGGAGUGGCUAGUACUAGUCAUUAAUAUGUUACUGUGUGAGCAUUUGGGGUACUUUGUAUUGUUCACUGCUUUAGAUUUUUCUGGUUUUAAAUUGCUUUCAUUCUACUUUAUCUUGCCAGGACACUUUGAGACUUUUAGCUUUAUAUAAAGUGUCUGAUAUAUGCAAUAAAGUGUCAUUGUCAUCACCUAUCAACGUUGUUAAAAGUUGAGAACACCUGAUGCUUGGUUAACGUGAGAGUGUGAAAUUUGGUCUAUGACUCGGUAGUCUUGCAUUAUGAUUAUGGGAUUUGUUUCCACAGUGCUUUUCCAGCUGAAUGGAAUUAUCCUUUGGAGUUUUGGAAAACUUCAUCCAGUGUGUUGCUUUUAAUACCGACUUUCUCAAUGAGUGUUUCUGUCUUCUUCCUCUACCCAACUGUGGCAUGUUUCAGUGUUUGAGGGAAGGGAGGAGUAAAAGUCACGUAUGAAUCAGUUUCUAACAGGUUGAACUAAAACAUGGUUGCUUUUUGGCAAAAAGAUUUGCAGGAUGUGUGUGAUCAUCGUGCUAUCCUGUAAAAUAUUAACAAGCUAUAACCUAUAAUAUGGAAAACCAUAGUGAUCACUUUUUUUGCCUUCAAAGAAAACUGUAAAAUGAACCGCUGGAAGAAUGCAACUACCUUUCCAACUUCCUUACAAAAAUGUGACUUGGCCCAUAUUUCAGCCAUUCUUUAUACCUCCCCCCCAUCCCAAAACCAAAAACAUCCAAGCCUAUCCUAUAUGAUCAAAUACAGAAUUAAACAGGAAAUACCAAUAUUGUUAUGGGAGGCAAUGCAGUCUAGAUUGGUGUUUUUCCUACACCCAAAAAGCCGCAGAACUGUAGCUGUUUAGUAGAUGGCCUGCAUUUCAAGGGAAGUUAGGCGUGCAUGAUUUGAGGAAAAACUUGAGUAAAACACGUGCUUAAGUUCUAUUCAUUUAAUGUGUGAACUGUUUUUGUACAUUUGCCUCUUCAUCUGGCUGCAUUUUGCUUUAAAAUAACUUUUUUUUUACAUUGAAGAAGCAUUGCAUACAACUCAGUAGUUCACAUGGUAUUAUUUUAACAACAUUUCAUAAAUGGGCAAACACAGUGACUAAUGCUUACCCACUCCUACAGCUCUUUAGUUAGCUCUCGCAUAUACUUGUCUCAACAACUUAUGUAGGUGGAAAAUAUAAGCAGUUCAAUAUAAAUGUAUUGUGUCUUGGUAGAGCACUGCAUACAAUCUCCCAUGCAGCAGAAGAAAAAUGCUCAUUUUGAUGCAUGCUGAUUUAUGAUGCUUUAUAUAUAUAUAUAUAUAUCCACAUAAUGUAUUUUAAUGUACCCAACAGACACCAUGAGCCGAAGUUUUUAGCUGCAGCAAGCUAGCGCCGUGUGCUAACGGUCAAGAGUUAAAAAUGCUCUCCACAUACCUUCUAGUUCCUGUGAGUACACAAUUGAUGGUUAGCAACAGUAUGCAUUUCUGCAUGAACAAAUAACUAUCUAAGGAGAUGAGGUAUGAGGCAAGAUACAUUAGCAGAAUGUAUAAUUUAAGUAAAAUAAAUGUGUCAGUGCGGCACAGAUGCAUACGUACGUUUCCUCCUAGCAUCAAUAAUUAUCUGGAGCUCCUUCCUUCCUCCAGUGUUGGAGUUGCAAAGCAACUGGAAUAGAAAUUUCAUUUUUCCUGAACCCAGAAAUCUUGUUAGAAUGCUGAGAACCUAGGCUUUUGGGUGAGCUUUCACAGACAGGAUCACGAUCCCUAUGAAAGUUAGGGACUUUAAGUCCCUUGGAAAUGAAUGGGCCUUCAAAGAGCUUGAUUUUGACUUGACCGGGUGCUAUCUUUUAGAGGAAUUUCCAGGAAUAUUAAGAAACUGAAUGGGAGCAUGUAAUCAACACCAAGUUCUUCAAAGAACAAAAAAAGGACAAAUGGUUGCAAAUUCUAAUUACAUCCAUGUCAUGUAUGCAGGUUCUUGGUCGCCCUAGUUUUGAAGGCUAUUAUAUUACAUUUGGGAAUAGUAUAUUACAGUGGUACCUCGGGCUAAGUACUUAAUUCGUUCCGGAGGUCCGUUCUUAAUCUGAAACUGUUCUUAACCUGAAGCACCACUUUAGCUAAUGGGGCCUCCCGCUGCCGCCGCGCCGCCAGAGCACAAUUUCUGUUCUCAUCCUGAAGGAAAGUUCUUAACCCGAGGUACUAUUUCUGGGUUAGUGGAGUCUUUAACCUGAAGCGUAUGUAACCUGAGGUACCACUGUAUCUCUGAUAUCUCAAGGGGGCAUACAAGUUUCUCCUCUCCUCAUUUUACCCUCACUAAUAAACCUAUGAGGUAGGUAACAUUGAGAGAUAAAUCAACCCAAGGUUAUGCAGAGAGCUCCAUGGCCGAGCGGACAUGGGAAUUUGGUCCCCACAACCCAUAGGAGCUGACUCCUAGGGGCUGAGUUGUCUUUGCCCCGCCCCCAAUAAAAUAUUUGAGUGGGCCGGGCCUCUCCAAAGUUGAUGAGCAUUGCCAUUCAAAUGGUGUGUGCGCACCCUGUCAUGUGAUCAAUUAUGCAGGGUGCCCCCCGCAAUAUUUUAUUCAAGUUGGCGCCCCUGCCGCAACCCUAAUUCGUUACAAUGCAUCACACUGGUGCGUAGUUAAAGCUAAUACUAGAAGGUGGACAACAAUAUGAAUAAAAAAACAUGCAUGGAACUGAAAUACUAUUUUUAUUUUGCAAGUCCACGUGAGCUAAUUUAGAGGUCUACAGGAGCUUGAUCCAGCAAUAGGUUAGACUCUGACUGUUAAGCGAGCCGAAGAACAACCUGGGGAACCAAUCAAAUCUCCAUUCAGCAACAUGAAGCUUACAGGGUGACCAGUCCUUAUCUGCCUAAUCAACCUCACAGGGUUGUUUGUGAGGACAGAAUGGGGGAAAGAGAGAAAUCAUGCAUGCUGUUUCGAGCUCCGUGGAGGAAAGGAGGGUUAUAAAUGUAGGUAAAUAAUGAAAAUAAAUAAAACCACACAGGACAGCGAAGCUACGCGUCAGGGAGAGACAGGAGGCAGCAGGAGCUGGCAUCUGAAUUCAUAGAAUCAUAGAAUUGUAGAGUUGCAAGGGACCCCAAGGGUUGUCCAGUUCAACCCCUUGCAAUGCAGGAAUCUCAGCUCAAGCAUUCGUGACAGGUGGCCAUCACUUGCAGUAGCAUACAAGGGGUAGUGUCAAAGACAGACCUGUGACACAGAACUGGUUAGUUUCUUGAGAAUGGCAUAAAAAUGGAAUGUUAGUAUCAACAAACAGCACGGGGGUUUCUGCCUUUUAUGCAUUUUUUUUUAACCAAAAUAAAACAUAUAAAAUAUAUUUUAAUGGGUGUUACAGCAGAAUGUGCACAUUUGCUGGACCGGGGAAACUCAGAAUCUAGGAAAAAUGCCAGAAAAAGAGUCUAGGUUGGGAAUAUGAAGGAUUUCUCUGUAAUAUAUUUGACUGGAGUGCCUGUUCUCAGAGGUACCUCCUGCGACCAGUUCGCAGGUUACUCACAGCUGCUGGAGAAGUUGGCACUGCGCUCAUAUGGUGGCAAAGCGCCAUUGCCCCAGGACCAGGCACUGUCUUUUAUAGGCUUAUGGCGUGACGGGUAAUAUCAGCCUCUUCUUCAAAGGACCACUGCACAUUGCACAAUUAAUAGAGCUGAAUCUAUACUCGCCCUUGGCCAAUGUGGAAUCAGGAGAGAUGAAUACAGGAUAAUGAGUCUAUAUAACCACUAGGGGGCUUCAUGGGCACAACAUUUUGGUAAGACCUGGGUACAGCUUCCGAGUUUUUUUCUUCUUCCAAAAGGGAAAUGAACCAUGAGUAUUUUUAAUGUGUGUGUGAAAAACAAGGUGCAAUGCCAAAGUGAGUAACCAACUUUUUUCAUUCUUCUCCUUUUCUGGAAUGCACAUCAGAUACUAAUUCCAAAUAUCUAUUCUAUUUUAAAACAAACAAACAAAAACACCCUUCCUAUUAUAAUAAAGAGCUUUCUGCUUCCUAAUUUCACAACAUCUUUCUGCACUGUCUGGUGCAAGAACUCAUUUAACACGAUUGCUGAGCUGUUGAACCACAUCCAUCUGGACUUUGCAAGAAAGAGGUCUUGUUAAAGUUAAAGCCUAAUAGAAUGGCACACAUUAAACAGCCUUGUUUUGUGUAUGUACUGUUACUGGCUUCCCUACGGGCCGCCAGAGUGGGUGAGCAACACAACUUGUUUGCACAAGCACAAGAAUCAAGUGGCAAAAAUAUUUCCUGGGCUUAUAGAAGGUAUGAUUGGCUUGCAUAGUUCAGGAACGGGCAAAAGGUAGAUUGUGGUCCACUGGUAGCUCUCCAGGCAACUCUCAGUAGAUUGGUAGCUCUCAGUAGAUUAGCAAGAAUUUUUGACUUCUGUUUGACAAUAGCUGAAAUCAGUGCUUUUCCUCUAGAAAAGAAGGUGCCAGUAUUCACCAUGAAGUUGUUACAGUAAGUGCCAAUGCUUUUUUUCCAGGAAAGAAAGUUGCCAGAACUGCGUACUGUACUUCGUUGGGUGAAAACACCUUGGGAUGGGAGAAACCAGGAGUAGAUUUUUUGUGAGACAAGGUUGUGACUGAGAGCUCAUUUCUGAUACUGCAUACAAAUGCUGGGCUGAGCAUAUGCUCUGAGGUAGUUCUUGCACUUUGUUAAGGCUGCGAUCAUACCCUCAGUUUCCUGGGAGGAAGCCCCAUUGAAUUCAGCGGGUCUUACUUUGGGGUAAACUUAUCUAUGGUCAAGUGUGCUUCUUUCCCACUGAGCCACUGUUCAAACAUUUGCCUGCAACUGGCAGGUCCUGGCAAUCUAGGAAAAAUUUAAACAAAAAAACACUGUCUAUUCCACACACCUCAAGUCUGCCCAUCUCUGGCAUAGUUCAGCCUCUCCCACUUUUUUUCCUGCAUGUGGAAAACUAGCAUUUCAAGGAUUCAUCCUAGCCUUCUCCCAAACAUUCUGUUUCCUUUCCCCCACCCCUGAGUGCAGUGAGAGUUUCACACCCCUUUUAGGAUGGGAGUGGACUUUCGCAGACUGAAAUAUUAUAGCCCAAGAGAAGCUUUGUCAUUUGAGUCUGGUGUGUGUUUGUGUGUGUGUGUGUGUGUGUGUGUGUGUGUACACUGGCCAUACAGCGGUGUAUCUAUGAAUGGGAAUAUUUAGGUUCAGUGUAUCUCUGAUAUGGCAGACACAGGAGGUCUACAUGGUACCUGAGUAGUGUCCAUUUGCCCUGUGAGCAAGCCCAAUACUGGUCAGCUGCAUUGUCAACACAGUGGGAAGAUGCAGGAGAAGUGUAAGGGCAUGGAUGUGCCAGUCAUGUCUAAACAGGAACACUCUUGUCGUGCUCUCAUUCCUCCCACAUGCACAACAAUUAAAGAUCUGCAGCUGUGGCCUAAAGGUGAAUUCACAUAUUCAGGUUGCUGACAUCAAAGCAGCGCCGUAACUACUUAUUUGAGCCAGUGUGGUUUAGCAGAUAGAGCACUGGACCUGAUCCAAGAAUCAUAAAAAUCACAGAACUGUAGAGUUGCGAGGGGCCCUAAGGCUCAUAUAGUCCAACCCCCGGCAGUGCAGCAAUCUUAGCUAAAGCAUCCGUGACAGAUGACCAUCCAGCCUUUGCUGAAAUCCUCCAAGGAAGGAGAGUUCACAACCUCCGGAGGGAGAUUGUGCCACAUCUCUCACUGUCAGUCAUGAAGCUCACUGGGUGGCCUUUUUGCCAUGCAUUCUUUUUCUGCCUAACCUACUUCACAGGGUUGUUGUGAGGACAGAAUAGGAGAACCCUGUGUAUAUGCUUGUGGGCUCAAGCCUCACAUUUGCAAAAAGAUUCCUGAAUUGCAGGGGGUCGGACUAGAUUGACCCACAUAGUCCCCCCCCCCAACCCUACAAUUCUAUGCCAUGCAGAAUCACUUGGAGGCACAGUGGGCGUGGUAAAGAUAUAUCAGAUUUAUACAGUGGUAUCUUGCGUUGCAGACGCUUCAGGUUACAGACUCUGCUAACCCAGAAAUAGUACCUCGGGUUAAGAACUUUGCUUCAGGAUGAGAACAGAAAUCGCGUGGCAAUGGCAGCGGGAGGCCCCAUUAGCUAAAGUGGUACUUCAGGUUAAGAACAGUUUCAGGUUAAGAACAAAUUAAGUUCUUAACCCAAGGUACCACUGUAAAAUGUUUAUCUGUGUUCAGGACAGUUCUAUGGGACGGUGACUCCUACAGUUUUGUGAUACUGCAAGCUGCCUUUCUGGUUUUCCUUUAUUCAGCACCCAUCAAAUAUUCAUAUAUAACGACUUCCAAAGUGAAAGACUUCUCAAAACAUUUCUGAAUUAGUGCUUCCCUUCUUUUUAUACCCUAGUACAACUGAACUCGGUGUGCCGAUCGAAAGAGUGGAUCUUCCUGGAAGUAAGAUGAAGUGACCUGCUUUCUGGCAGCACAAUGAGUAGGGAAUACAUGUGAAAGCAAGUGUGAUGUAGAAGUUAAUAUAUUGGACUAGAGCUGGGGGGUUGGCGAGGGUUCAAAUCCUCAUUGCACCUCACUCCUCACUUGGUGACCUUGAGCCGCUCAGUCUCUCAGCCCUAGCCUACCUCGGAGGGUUAUUGUGAAUUUUUUUAAAAACAACAACAUGGAAGAAGAACAGUGUAUGUUGCCUUCAAAUUAAAACAGUAAAUAAAUUAAGCCUGGAAUUAGUGCAGGAAGGAUUUGGGGAGGGGAGGGGGAGCAUUUUGGCAACGUCAUCUGCUGUCACUGGCUGAAGAGAGAAGUUGUGUUAAGAUGCUGCUGCUGCUGCUGUAAGUAGUUUGGCAAGCAGAGGUAAAACAGCACCUGCAAAUCCAGCAAAGCCUUUUGUACCUUAUGUUCGGUACAGCUGCUCAGAGUGCAGAAGGAGCUGCGUUUAUGGUGUCACCAGCUUUAUGGGGACGACAGCUUUACGACUAAUUGCUGCAGGGGCAUGUUUUCAAAGGCCCAAAUGUCUCCUUAGCUUGAUUCUGCAAAGUGCUCUGCUGGUUUCAUGCUUCACUGGGUUCAGGAUAUCUGAGGCGUCUAAAUUCCAUUAGAAGUCAGCACCAAACAGGCACUGAAGUGUCAUGUUUGCUUUUGAAAAUCUGUCCCUUAAUCUUCUUCUGGAGUAGAAAGCAAAAAGAGCAAUCCUUUUUUUUUUUUACUAAGCAGAGAAAUGAGAUGUGUUCAGUCCUGUAUUUCUUAGAGUUAAGUCAGUACUAAACUAACCUCUUCGCUGUCUAUGAAACUCAUAGAUAGAACAUGAUCUUGAUAAACUGCUGGGAGACUGCUUUCUUUCUUAAAUUUCAGUUUUGAAGGCAAUAUGGGGAAACAUGAACAUAAGAGUGUGGUAAUUUUAACAUUCUGCCCCUAAAACACCAUUUAGUCUGAAGUAAAUAUUGCAUCCAUCUUAAUGCGGAUGGUUUUUUCACAAGACUGAUUCCUCCCCUCAGCAGAUAGCCCCAAGACUCUCAGAAUGUUCUGCAAAUGGGAGGGAUUGGGAAAGUGUUUAAACUUUUCAAAACUCUAGCAGAACUCACUGUAGUGUUCAGAUUGUGACCUUAUGAGAUUUUCUUUUCCCUCUAGGCUUUUAAACGUAAAAUGCAUUCUGACAGAGAGGAUAUGUAGCUUACAGAAGUUUUAUCAAGUCUGCUUUCUAUGCAUCCCUUAAGAACAACACAUGCCACACUCUUCCUUAGAGUAGGAGCAGAUGCUUAAUUGUAAAAGUGACGGAGAUCGCAGCCAUACAAAGUUUAGCACAUGUUUAAAUAUUUUCUAAAGACCCUGAUGUUGGGAAAGAUGGAGGGCACAAGGAGAAGGGGACAACAGAGG